rnacentral:lncRNA from 1 species
UGUUUGACCAGUACAAAGUUUACUCACUUUGACCUGUUAUUCAAAUUUUAACCCGUCCAACCAACCCAUUUUGGCACCUCUAAAAGACUUAAGCUCAGAAUCUGCUGAAACUGUAAAGCUGUUCCAUCAGGUAGAAAUGUUCCAUAUGUAUCUGAUGCGUGUGUGGAUGGUUUCUCGUGUACUCGCUAAACCCUAAUUUCAUCACCUCAUUCUCAUCACAAACCUCUCAAUUCUCCACCUAUUCAAAACCCUACCACUUUAGUUUCAAUCAACACUUGCUAUUUCUCCACCAAUUAUUGAAACCGACACC